GGGGAAUAUUGGACAAUGGACCAAGAGUCUGAUCCAGCAAUUCUGUGUGCACGAUGAAGUUUUUCGGAAUGUAAAGUGCUUUCAGUUGGGAAGAAAAAAAUGACGGUACCAACAGAAGAAGUGACGGCUAAAUACGUGCCAGCAGCCGCGGUAAUACGUAUGUCACGAGCGUUAUCCGGAUUUAUUGGGCGUAAAGCGCGUCUAGGUGGUUAUGUAAGUCUGAUGUGAAAAUGCAGGGCUCAACUCUGUAUUGCGUUGGAAACUGUAUAACUAGAGUACUGGAGAGGUAAGCGGAACUACAAGUGUAGAGGUGAAAUUCGUAGAUAUUUGUAGGAAUGCCGAUGGGGAAGCCAGCUUACUGGACAGAUACUGACGCUGAAGCGCGAAAGCGUGGGUAGCAAACAGGAUUAGAUACCCUGGUAGUCCACGCCGUAAACGAUGAUUACUAGGUGUUGGGGGUCGAACCUCAGCGCCCAAGCAAACGCGAUAAGUAAUCCGCCUGGGGAGUACGUACGCAAGUAUG
rnacentral:rRNA from 1 species